AAGCAUCGGAGCUGCACUCCUCCUCCCAGCGGCUCCGGGCGACUGGCAACCCUCCUCCUCCCAUGUUGUCAGUCAGAAUCGAAGCCCGGUGCAUCUCCUCCCGCACCGGGCUUUUUCU
rnacentral:sRNA from 1 species